rnacentral:rRNA from 1 species
UAUGAGAGUUUGAUCCUGGCUCAGGAUGAACGCCGGCGGUGUGCCUAAUACAUGCAAGUCGAACGCGUUGGCCCAAUUGAUUGAUGGUGCUUGCACCUGAUUGAUUUUGGUUGCCAGCGAGUGGCGGACGGGUGAGUAACACGUAGGUAACCUGCCCAGAAGCGGGGGACAACAUUUGGAAACAGAUGCUAAUACCGCAUAACAGCGUUGUUCGCAUGAACAACGCUUAAAAGAUGGCUUCUCGCUAUCACUUCUGGAUGGACCUGCGGUGCAUUAGCUUGUUGGUGGGGUAACGGCCUACCAAGGCGAUGAUGCAUAGCCGAGUUGAGAGACUGAUCGGCCACAAUGGGACUGAGACACGGCCCAUACUCCUACGGGAGGCAGCAGUAGGGAAUCUUCCACAAUGGGCGCAAGCCUGAUGGAGCAACACCGCGUGAGUGAAGAAGGGUUUCGGCUCGUAAAGCUCUGUUGUUAAAGAAGAACACGUAUGAGAGUAACUGUUCAUACGUUGACGGUAUUUAACCAGAAAGUCACGGCUAACUACGUGCCAGCAGCCGCGGUAAUACGUAGGUGGCAAGCGUUAUCCGGAUUUAUUGGGCGUAAAGAGAGUGCAGGCGGUUUUCUAAGUCUGAUGUGAAAGCCUUCGGCUUAACCGGAGAAGUGCAUCGGAAACUGGAUAACUUGAGUGCAGAAGAGGGUAGUGGAACUCCAUGUGUAGCGGUGGAAUGCGUAGAUAUAUGGAAGAACACCAGUGGCGAAGGCGGCUACCUGGUCUGCAACUGACGCUGAGACUCGAAAGCAUGGGUAGCGAACAGGAUUAGAUACCCUGGUAGUCCAUGCCGUAAACGAUGAGUGCUAGGUGUUGGAGGGUUUCCGCCCUUCAGUGCCGGAGCUAACGCAUUAAGCACUCCGCCUGGGGAGUACGACCGCAAGGUUGAAACUCAAAGGAAUUGACGGGGGCCCGCACAAGCGGUGGAGCAUGUGGUUUAAUUCGAAGCUACGCGAAGAACCUUACCAGGUCUUGACAUCUUGCGCCAACCCUAGAGAUAGGGCGUUUCCUUCGGGAACGCAAUGACAGGUGGUGCAUGGUCGUCGUCAGCUCGUGUCGUGAGAUGUUGGGUUAAGUCCCGCAACGAGCGCAACCCUUGUUACUAGUUGCCAGCAUUAAGUUGGGCACUCUAGUGAGACUGCCGGUGACAAACCGGAGGAAGGUGGGGACGACGUCAGAUCAUCAUGCCCCUUAUGACCUGGGCUACACACGUGCUACAAUGGACGGUACAACGAGUCGCGAACUCGCGAGGGCAAGCAAAUCUCUUAAAACCGUUCUCAGUUCGGACUGCAGGCUGCAACUCGCCUGCACGAAGUCGGAAUCGCUAGUAAUCGCGGAUCAGCAUGCCGCGGUGAAUACGUUCCCGGGCCUUGUACACACCGCCCGUCACACCAUGAGAGUUUGUAACACCCAAAGUCGGUGGGGUAACCUUUUAGGAGCCAGCCGCCUAAGGUGGGACAGAUGAUUAGGGUGAAGUCGUAACAAGGUAGCCGUAGGAGAACCUGCGGCUGGAUCACCUCCUU